UACAGAGGGUGCAAGCGUUGUUCGGAAUUAUUGGGCGUAAAGCGCGUGUAGGCGGCUUUGCAAGUCGGGUGUGAAAGCCCUCGGCUCAACCGAGGAAGUGCGCCCGAAACUGCAGAGCUUGAGUGCCGGAGAGGAUGGCGGAAUUCCCAAGUAGAGGUGAAAUUCGUAGAUAUGGGGAGGAACACCGGUGGCGAAGGCGGCCAUCUGGACGGUAACUGACGCUGAGACGCGAAAGCGUGGGAGCAACA
rnacentral:rRNA from 1 species